rnacentral:lncRNA from 1 species
AUCAGGCUUGCAGACCUAGUAGCAGGUAGGAUGCUGGCAUCCAGUACUUCUGCUGAGAUGAUGUCACUGUUUUCUUCCAGGAAAGAACAUGGCUUGUGUGCAGCGGACACUAAUGAACCUGGGUGGGCUGGCAGUAGCCAGGGACGAUGGGCUCUUCUCUGGGGACCCCAACUGGUUUCCUAAGUAAGUAUCUGUGGGAUAGCCAUAGGGCCUUGCUGGUACAGCACUCCUGCCUUUCCUGCCUGCAGAUAGUAGAACCAGUCAUUACAAAGCACCUUUACAAUUCCAGAAGGUGGCAGGUGGUGGUGGUGGUGGUGGUGGUGGUGGUAGCAAUGACUGUCCUUAUGGAGAGACAAAGAAGUGCUUCUGGGCACCCAGGAGUCUCAAAGGCAGAGUGGGUGUCACUGUACACACUCCAGGGAAGAAUUUACUGGGGUAGCUAGCCUCCGACCACCUCCUAACUUGUACUCCCCCUUCUACUCAGGAAAUCCAAGGAGAACCCUCGGAACUUCUCGGACAACCAGUUGCAAGAGGGCAAGAAUGUGAUUGGGUUACAGAUGGGCACCAACCGUGGAGCCUCUCAGGCUGGCAUGACUGGCUAUGGGAUGCCCAGGCAGAUCCUCUGAUCAGACCCUCCUCUUCCCCUGCCCUCUAUGAAUGGUUAAUAUAUAUGUAUAUAUAUGUUUUAGCAGACAUUCCCUGAGAGCCCCUGGCUUGCUAAGCUCCCCUCUGCCAGGGUGGGUCCAACCUAUCUUGUUACCUCUGGCAGUGCCUGAUAAUUGCCUCUCUCUCUCUGUCUCUCUCUCUCUCUCUCUGGGCUUACUAAUGCAUUCCUUCCCCCACA